CCUACGGUGGCAGCAGUGAGGAAUAUUGGUCAAUGGGCGGGAGCCUGAACCAGCCAAGUCGCGUGAGGGAAGACGGUCCUAUGGAUUGUAAACCUCUUUAGGCGGGGAGCAAUGCCGGGCACGUGUGCCCGGAGGGAGAGUACCCGCAGAAUAAGCAUCGGCUAACUCCGUGCCAGCAGCCGCGGUAAUACGGAGGAUGCGAGCGUUAUCCGGAUUUAUUGGGUUUAAAGGGUGCGUAGGCGGCUUUUUAAGUCAGCGGUAAAAUGUCCGGGCUGAACCCGGGCCGGCCGUUGAAACUGGGUAUAUGGAGUGUGCGAGAAGUACGCGGAAGGCGCGGUGUCGCGGUUAAAUGCAUCGACAUCGCGCAGAACUCCGUAUGCGAAGGCAGCAUACCGGCGCCCGACUGACGCUGAGGCACGAAAGCGUGGGGAUCGAACAGGAUUAGAUACCGUUGUAGUC
rnacentral:rRNA from 1 species